AUACGUAGGGUGCGAGCGUUGUCCGGAAUUACUGGGCGUAAAGAGCUCGUAGGUGGUUUGUCGCGUCGUCUGUGAAAUUCCGGGGCUUAACUCCGGGCGUGCAGGCGAUACGGGCAUAACUUGAGUACUGUAGGGGAGACUGGAAUUCCUGGUGUAGCGGUGAAAUGCGCAGAUAUCAGGAGGAACACCGGUGGCGGAGGCGGGUCUCUGGGCAGUAACUGACUCUGAGGAGCGAAAGCAUGGGUAGCGAACAGGAUUAGAUACCCUGGUAGUCCAUGCCGUAAACGGUGGGCGCUAGGUGUAGGGGUCUUCCACGACUUCUGUGCCGUAGCUAACGCAUUAAGCGCCCCGCCUGGGGAGUACGGCCGCAAGGCUAAAACUCAAAGGAAUUGACGGGG
rnacentral:rRNA from 1 species